GGCGAAAGCCUGACGGAGCAACGCCGCGUGAGGGACGAAGGCCUCUGGGCUGUAAACCUCUUUUCUCAAGGAAGAAGAUAUGACGGUACUUGAGGAAUAAGCCACGGCUAAUUCCGUGCCAGCAGCCGCGGUAAUACGGGAGUGGCAAGCGUUAUCCGGAAUUAUUGGGCGUAAAGCGUCCGCAGGCGGCUUUUCAAGUCUGCUGUUAAAGCGUGGAGCUUAACUCCAUCAUGGCAGUGGAAACUGAAAGGCUUGAGUAUGGUAGGGGCAGAGGGAAUUCCCGGUGUAGCGGUGAAAUGCGUAGAUAUCGGGAAGAACACCAGUGGCGAAGGCGCUCUGCUGGGCCAUUACUGACGCUCAUGGACGAAAGCCAGGGGAGCGAAAGGGAUUAGAUACCCCUGUAGUCCUGGCCGUAAACGAUGAACACUAGGUGUCGGGGGAAUCGACCCCUUCGGUGUCGUAGCUAACGCGUUAAGUGUUCCGCCUGGGGAGUACGCACGCAAGUGUGAAACUCAAAGGAAU
rnacentral:rRNA from 1 species